GAUGAAGAACGUAGUGAAAUGCGAUACGUAAUGUGAAUUGCAGAAUCUCGUGAAUCAUUGAAUCUUUGAACGCACAUUGCGCCCUCUGGUAUUCCGGGGGGCAUGCCUGUUCGAGCGUCAUUAUAACCACUCAAGCUCUCGCUUGGUAUUGGGGUUCGCGGUUCCGCGGCCCCUAAAAUCAGUGGCGGUGCCUGUCGGCUCUACGCGUAGUAAUACUCCUCGCGAUUGAGUCCGGUAGGUCUACUUGCCAGCAACCCCCAAUUUUUACAGGUUGACCUCGGAUCAGGUAGGGAUACCCGCUGAACUUAAGCAUAUCAAUAAGCGGAGGA
rnacentral:misc_RNA from 1 species